rnacentral:misc_RNA from 1 species
GAUGAAGAACGUAGCGAAAUGCGAUAAGUAGUGUGAAUUGCAGAAUUCAGUGAAUCAUCGAAUCUUUGAACGCACAUUGCGCCUCCUGGUAUUCCGGGAGGCAUGCCUGUUCGAGCGUCAUUAAAAUCACUCAAGCUUAGGUUUACCUAUUGCUUGGUCUUGGAGAUGGAAGCCAAUUCAUUGGAAUCCUCUUCGAAAUCCAAUGGCGAAGACCCUUGCUCUCCCAAGUGUAGUAAUAACUUAUGUCACUGAAGGAAGCGAGAAAUCUUCCGCCGUAACCCCCAUAUUUUCUAUGAUUGACCUCGUAUCAGGUAGGGAUACCCGCUGAACUUAAGCAUAUCAAUAAGCGGAGGA